AUUGAACGCUGGCGGCAUGCUUUACACGUGCAAGUCGAACGGUAACAGGGUGCUUGCACCGCUGACGAGUGGCGAACGGGUGAGUAAUGCGUCGGAACGUGCCGAGUAGUGGGGGAUAACGCAGCGAAAGUUGUGCUAAUACCGCAUACGUACUGAGGUAGAAAGUGGGGGACCUUCGGGCCUCACGCUAUUCGAGCGGCCGACGUCUGAUUAGCUAGUAGGUGAGGUAAAGGCUCACCUAGGCGACGAUCAGUAGCGGGUCUGAGAGGAUGAUCCGCCACACUGGGACUGAGACACGGACCAGACUCCUACGGGAGGCAGCAGUGGGGAAUUUUGGACAAUGGGCGUAAGCCUGAUCCAGCCAUGCCGCGUGUCUGAAGAAGGCCUUCGGGUUGUAAAGGACUUUUGUCAGGGAGGAAAUCCCUAGUGCUAAUAACACUGGGGGAUGACAGUACCUGAAGAAUAAGCACCGGCUAACUACGUGCCAGCCGCCGCUGUAA
rnacentral:rRNA from 1 species